AUCCCAAAUAAUGUAGAGGUGUAUUGUAGGUGCCUUAAAUAACCCCUUAUUUUCUAGUGAGAUGUAUUUUUAUGUUCAUAUAAUAGUGAUUUCAAUGCCACCCCAAAAUGAUCACUGGUUCCAUCCUGGCCACCCCACUGAAAAUGUCCUG